rnacentral:rRNA from 1 species
ACGGGUGAGUAACACGUGGGAACCUACCUAGGGGUACGGAAUAACUCAGGGAAACUUGUGCUAAUACCGUAUACGACCUUCGGGUGAAAGAUUUAUCGCCCCUAGAUGGGCCCGCGUUGGAUUAGCUAGUUGGUGGGGUAAAAGCCUACCAAGGCGACGAUCCAUAGCUGGUCUGAGAGGAUGAUCAGCCACACUGGGACUGAGACACGGCCCAAACUUCUACGGGAGGCAGCAGUAGGGAAUCUUGGACAAUGGGCGAAAGCCUGAUCCAGCCAUGCCGCGUGAGUGAUGAAGGCCUUAGGGUUGUAAAGCUCUUUCGCCAGGGAAGAUAAUGACGGUACCUGGAUAAGAAGCCCCGGCAAACUUCGUGCCAGCAGCCGCGGUAAUACGAAGGGGGCUAGCGUUGUUCGGAAUUACUGGGCGUAAAGCGCACGUAGGCGGUUUUCCAAGUUGGAGGUGAAAUCCCUGGGCUCAACCCGGGAACUGCCUCCAAAACUGGAUGACUCGAGUCCGAGAGAGGUGAGUGGAAUUUCCAGUGUAGAGGUGAAAUUCGUAGAUAUUGGAAAGAACACCAGUGGCGAAGGCGGCUCACUGGCUCGGUACUGACGCUGAGGUGCGACAGCGUGGGGAGCAAACAGGAUUAGAUACCC